UACGUAGGGGGCAAGCGUUGUCCGGAAUCAUUGGGCGUAAAGCGCGUGUAGGCGGCUCGAUAAGUCCGCUCUGAAAGUCCAGGGCUCAACCCUGGGAUGCGGGUGGAUACUGUCGGGCUCGAGUCCGGAAGAGGCGAGUGGAAUUCCCGGUGUAGCGGUGAAAUGCGCAGAUAUCAGGAAGAACACCCGUGGCGAAGGCGGCUCUCUGGGACGGUACUGACGCUGAGACGCGAAAGCGUGGGGAGCGAACAGG
rnacentral:rRNA from 1 species